GGAAAGUAGCUCAGUGGUAGACUGUUUUCCUAGCAUGUAUGAAGUCCUGGGUUCAAACCCCAGCACCA
rnacentral:tRNA from 1 species